UUUCGAAUCAUUCACAAUGGGCGAAAGCCUGAUGGUGCGACGCCGCGUGAGGGAUGAAGGUCUUCGGAUUGUAAACCUCUGUCACUGGGGAAGAAACGUUAAACCCUAAUACGGUUUAGCCUGACUUAACCCGGAGAGGAAGCAGUGGCUAACUCUGUGCCAGCAGCCGCGGUAAUACAGAGACUGCAAGCGUUAUUCGGAUUCACUGGGCGUAAAGGGUGCGCAGGCGGCCAAGUGUGUCAGAUGUGAAAUCCCGGGGCUCAACCCCGGAACUGCGUCUGAAACUAUUUGGCUAGAGCAUUGGAGAGGGAAGUGGAAUUCACGGUGUAGCAGUGAAAUGCGUAGAUAUCGUGAGGAACACCAGAGGCGAAGGCGACUUCCUGGACAAUUGCUGACGCUC
rnacentral:rRNA from 1 species